ACGCUCGACACCUACGGGAGGCAGCAGUGGGGAAUAUUGCACAAUGGGGGAAACCCUGAUGCAGCGACGCCGCGUGAGCGAAGAAGUAUUUCGGUAUGUAAAGCUCUAUCAGCAGGGAAGAAACUGACGGUACCUGACUAAGAAGCACCGGCUAAAUACGUGCCAGAAGCCGCGGUAAUCUGAGCGGGCUGGCAAGGC
rnacentral:rRNA from 1 species